AGGUGGCCAGCGGGAUCUCCCCCUCCACAGCGUCCGUCUGCGUGUGAGCACUGAGGUGGACGUUCAUCACGUGGCGAGCCAGCGUCUGGGGGGGGAACGUUAUGGUUAGGGUUCUAGAGGGGACCAGGUCAUGGUUCUAGAGGGGACCAGGUCAUGGUUAGGGUUCUAGAGGGGACCAGGUCAUGGUUCUAGAGGGGACCAGGUCAUGGUUCUAGAAGGGACCAGGUCAUGGUUCUAGAGGGGACCAGGUCAUGGUUCUAGAGGGGACCAGGUCAUGGUUCUAGAGGGGACCAGGUCAUGGUUAGGGUUCUAGAGGGGACCAG